AGCGUACACGGUGGAUGCCCUGGCAGUCAGAGGCGAUGAAGGACGUGCUAAUCUGCGAUAAGCGUCGGUGAGGUGAUAUGAACCGUUAUAACCGGCGAUUUCCGAAUGGGGAAACCCAGUGUGUUUCGACACACUAUCAUUAACUGAAUCCAUAGGUUAAUGAGGCGAACCGGGGGAACUGAAACAUCUAAGUACCCCGAGGAAAAGAAAUCAACCGAGAUUCCCCCAGUAGCGGCGAGCGAACGGGGAGGAGCCCAGAGCCUGAAUCAGUGUGUGUGUUAGUGGAAGCGUCUGGAAAGGCGCGCGAUACAGGGUGACAGCCCCGUACACAAAAAUGCACAUAUUGUGAGCUCGAUGAGUAGGGCGGGACACGUGGUAUCCUGUCUGAAUAUGGGGGGACCAUCCUCCAAGGCUAAAUACUCCUGACUGACCGAUAGUGAACCAGUACCGUGAGGGAAAGGCGAAAAGAACCCCGGCGAGGGGAGUGAAAAAGAACCUGAAACCGUGUACGUACAAGCAGUGGGAGCCUCUUAAUGGGGUGACUGCGUACCUUUUGUAUAAUGGGUCAGCGACUUAUAUUCUGUAGCAAGGUUAACCGAAUAGGGGAGCCGAAGGGAAACCGAGUCUUAACUGGGCGUUAAGUUGCAGGGUAUAGACCCGAAACCCGGUGAUCUAGCCAUGGGCAGGUUGAAGGUUGGGUAACACUAACUGGAGGACCGAACCGACUAAUGUUGAAAAAUUAGCGGAUGACUUGUGGCUGGGGGGGAAAGGCCAAUCAAACCCGGAGAUAGCUGGUUCUCCCCGAAAGCUAUUUAGGUAGCGCCUCGUGAAUUCAUCUCCGGGGGUAGAGCACUGUUUCGGCAAGGGGGUCAUCCCGACUUACCAACCCGAUGCAAACUGCGAAUACCGGAGAAUGUUAUCACGGGAGACACACGGCGGGUGCUAACGUCCGUCGUGAAGAGGGAAACAACCCAGACCGCCAGCUAAGGUCCCAAAGUCAUGGUUAAGUGGGAAACGAUGUGGGAAGGCCCAGACAGCCAGGAUGUUGGCUUAGAAGCAGCCAUCAUUUAAAGAAAGCGUAAUAGCUCACUGGUCGAGUCGGCCUGCGCGGAAGAUGUAACGGGGCUAAACCAUGCACCGAAGCUGCGGCAGCGACACUAUGUGUUGUUGGGUAGGGGAGCGUUCUGUAAGCCUGUGAAGGUGGCCUGUGAGGGUUGCUGGAGGUAUCAGAAGUGCGAAUGCUGACAUAAGUAACGAUAAAGCGGGUGAAAAGCCCGCUCGCCGGAAGACCAAGGGUUCCUGUCCAACGUUAAUCGGGGCAGGGUGAGUCGACCCCUAAGGCGAGGCCGAAAGGCGUAGUCGAUGGGAAACAGGUUAAUAUUCCUGUACUUGGUGUUACUGCGAAGGGGGGACGGAGAAGGCUAUGUUGGCCGGGCGACGGUUGUCCCGGUUUAAGCGUGUAGGCUGGUUUUCCAGGCAAAUCCGGAAAACCAAGGCUGAGGCGUGAUGACGAGGCACUACGGUGCUGAAGCGACAAAUGCCCUGCUUCCAGGAAAAGCCUCUAAGCAUCAGGUAACAUCAAAUCGUACCCCAAACCGACACAGGUGGUCAGGUAGAGAAUACCAAGGCGCUUGAGAGAACUCGGGUGAAGGAACUAGGCAAAAUGGUGCCGUAACUUCGGGAGAAGGCACGCUGAUAUGUAGGUGAAGCGACUUGCUCGUGGAGCUGAAAUCAGUCGAAGAUACCAGCUGGCUGCAACUGUUUAUUAAAAACACAGCACUGUGCAAACACGAAAGUGGACGUAUACGGUGUGACGCCUGCCCGGUGCCGGAAGGUUAAUUGAUGGGGUUAGCGGUAACGCGAAGCUCUUGAUCGAAGCCCCGGUAAACGGCGGCCGUAACUAUAACGGUCCUAAGGUAGCGAAAUUCCUUGUCGGGUAAGUUCCGACCUGCACGAAUGGCGUAAUGAUGGCCAGGCUGUCUCCACCCGAGACUCAGUGAAAUUGAACUCGCUGUGAAGAUGCAGUGUACCCGCGGCAAGACGGAAAGACCCCGUGAACCUUUACUAUAGCUUGACACUGAACAUUGAGCCUUGAUGUGUAGGAUAGGUGGGAGGCUUUGAAGUGUGGACGCCAGUCUGCAUGGAGCCGACCUUGAAAUACCACCCUUUAAUGUUUGAUGUUCUAACGUGGGCCCCUAAUCGGGGUUGCGGACAGUGUCUGGUGGGUAGUUUGACUGGGGCGGUCUCCUCCUAAAGAGUAACGGAGGAGCACGAAGGUUGGCUAAUCCUGGUCGGACAUCAGGAGGUUAGUGCAAUGGCAUAAGCCAGCUUGACUGCGAGCGUGACGGCGCGAGCAGGUGCGAAAGCAGGUCAUAGUGAUCCGGUGGUUCUGAAUGGAAGGGCCAUCGCUCAACGGAUAAAAGGUACUCCGGGGAUAACAGGCUGAUACCGCCCAAGAGUUCAUAUCGACGGCGGUGUUUGGCACCUCGAUGUCGGCUCAUCACAUCCUGGGGCUGAAGUAGGUCCCAAGGGUAUGGCUGUUCGCCAUUUAAAGUGGUACGCGAGCUGGGUUUAGAACGUCGUGAGACAGUUCGGUCCCUAUCUGCCGUGGGCGCUGGAGAACUGAGGGGGGCUGCUCCUAGUACGAGAGGACCGGAGUGGACGCAUCACUGGUGUUCGGGUUGUCAUGCCAAUGGCACUGCCCGGUAGCUAAAUGCGGAAGAGAUAAGUGCUGAAAGCAUCUAAGCACGAAACUUGCCCCGAGAUGAGUUCU
rnacentral:rRNA from 1 species